AAAGUCGUAACAAGGUUUCCGUAGGUGAACCUGCGGAAGGAUCAUUAUUGAAAUCCUCAGGAUGUUGCUGGCCUUUUCUUGGGCAUGUGCACUCCAACCUUUUCAUCUCACCUGUGAACUCAUUUGUAGGCCCAGAUUGUUACAAAUCUGUGUCUAUGUUACUUUUACACAAACACAAAAGUUUUAUAAGAAUGUCUCAUUUAAAUGUUAAGGCCUUUUACUGGUCAAAAUUUAAUACAACUUUCAACAAUGGAUCUCUUGGUUCUC
rnacentral:misc_RNA from 1 species